rnacentral:rRNA from 1 species
GAUGAGCGCUGGCGGCGUGCCUAAUACAUGCAAGUCGAGCGAAUGGAUUAAGAGCUUGCUCUUAUGAAGUUAGCGGCGGACGGGUGAGUAACACGAGGGUAACCUGCCCAUAAGACUGGGAUAACUCCGGGAAACCGGGGCUAAUACCGGAUAACAUUUUGAACCGCAUGGUUCGAAAUUGAAAGGCGGCUUCGGCUGUCACUUAUGGAUGGACCCGCGUCGCAUUAGCUAGUUGGUGAGGUAACGGCUCACCAAGGCAACGAUGCGUAGCCGACCUGGGAGGGUGAUCGGCCACGCUGGGACUGAGACACGGCCCAGACUCCUACGGGAGGCAGCAGUAGGGAAUCUUCCGCAAUGGACGAAAGUCUGACGGAGCAACGCCGCGUGAGUGAUGAAGGCUUUCGGGUCGUAAAACUCUGUUGUUAGGGAAGAACAAGUGCUAGUUGAAUAAGCUGGCACCUUGACGGUACCUAACCAGAAAGCCACGGCUAACUACGUGCCAGCCGCCGCCGUAA